rnacentral:rRNA from 1 species
GACGAACGCUGGCGGCGUGCUUAACACAUGCGAGUCGAACGGAAAGGCCCUGCUUUUGUGGGGUGCUCGAGUGGCGAACGGGUAAGUAACACGUGAGUAACCUGCCCUUGACUUUGGGAUAACUUCAGGAAACUGGGGCUAAUACCGGAUAGGAGCUCCUGCUGCAUGGUGGGGGUUGGAAAGUUUCGGCGGUUUGGGAUGGACUCGCGGCUUAUCAGCUUGUUGGUGGGGUAGUGGCUUACCAAGGCUUUGACGGGUAGCCGGCCUGAGAGGGUGACCGGCCACAUUGGGACUGAGAUACGGCCCAGACUCCUACGGGAGGCAGCAGUGGGGAAUACUGCACAAUGGGCGGAAGCCUGAUGCAGCAACGCCGCGUGCGGGAUGACGGCCUUCGGGUUGUAAACCGCUUUCGCCUAUGACGAAGCGUGAGUGACGGUAAUGGGUAAAGAAGCACCGGCUAACUACGUG